AACGUAGGAGGCGAGCGUUAUCCGGCGUUACUGGGCGUAAAGCGCGUGUAGGCGGUUGAUUAGGUCAGUCGUGAAAGCUCCCAGGCUAAACCGGGAGAGGUCGAUUGACACCGAUGAACUGGAGUGCGACAGAGGGGCAUGGAAUUCCGGGUGUAGUGGUGAAAUGCGUAGAGAUCCGGAGGAACACCAGAGGCGAAGGCGGUGCCCUGGGUCGCAACUGACGCUGAGGCGCGAAAGCAUGGGUAGCGAACGGG
rnacentral:rRNA from 1 species